UCGCGCGGGUGGAAAUGUUCCGAGCCAACUCGUGUUAAUAGCUAGCUAGCGCUGUACCCAGAAGUGCAGUACUGGUCUGAAUCAGCUGAUACGUUUUACUGAUAUUUUUAUUUAUUUUAAAUCACCACACGUCAUAUGUAUGAUACCAUUACGCACUCGAUUCAGCUAUUUGUGUAAAGGAAACAGCACGUGUAUUUGUUAUUAGCUAGCAAGGGCUAGGUACUACACUACCAAGAGGAGAAACGACACAAAGAAAUAUAACCUGGCUAUGGGAGACAAUUCUAAACAAGCUGAGGUUUUUCUCGAAUUAAGAAAACGGCUGCAAAGUGGUCUUCUUGUUCUGCGGAGAGAUGUGGUAAAGAGCUAUUCAGAGGUGAGCGUUACAGGAGGAGAUUCGUCCCUCCACAUCCGUACUCCUCUGGGCCUGCAAUGUGUAGAGCUGCCAGCAGGGGUCAGCCUUGUGGAGGGCUCCUGCAGGGAGGCACCUGGAGCAGGAGAUGAGAUGCACUUCAGACUGCGCCUAAGUGUGGAUCACCAGCACCCAGACAAGAAAGAAGCCCCAGGGAGUGUGAUGGAGAGUCUGCAACUCCAUAAGAGUUAUUGCUUUCACUGCCAGUCCUGUGAGACCCGAGUGCUGGAAGAGAGAGUGUUUAAGCGAGUGCUUCCUCUCCCCAACGGAAACUGGAACUCCCUGGUGGACGACUGGUGCUGCCAUCCAGACCCCUUUGCCAACCUGAAGCUUCUACCCCGAGUGGACGACUGUUUAAUGGGCGACACAUACCUCCUGGUGUCCCGGGAUGCAGGCUGCGACGAGACUCUCACCCAGGAAUGCCGCUCCAUCACCAACAAAAUGUCUGACAGUCAAAGUCAGGAUACACAGAAACCCAACUGGCGGCGUAAACUAGUCUCCUGUAAAAGCUGCUCUGUUGGGCUGGGAGAGGCUGUCGCACCAGAUACCCUAAAACUGUUCAUUACAGAGGUGACUGUGAGACCAAGUGCUGGAGACCAUCAGUUUGACACAUCUCCAGACAGGUCACUCUUCUUGGAACAGACCAUAGCAGCCAGACUAGUGGAGCUAUCAUCCUCUCAGAGCAUGUUUCGUUUCUCUCUCCAGACCCCUGAGGGAAAAGCUUUCAUAUUGCUCUGGCUCCUGAACAGCGAUUCCCUCAUCGCCUCGCUCUCUGCCACUCCCUUCACGGCUGUCAGUGGUGACGUCGUCUGUCCCAGCCAGCCCAAGUGUUGCGAGCAUCCAUCAGGCACGAAGGCUGUCAGCGCCAUCAAAGUCCUCUAUCUCCCCUGUUUGCUCUCUGCCAGCACACAUCAGGAUGUGGUAGAAACCUGGGAAAAAGACAUCAGCGUCCAUCCUCUGGAGCUGCCUUCUGCCACAUGCCAGGAGGUGUUGUUGUUGCUGACUGCCAGUACUUCCUGUCUCCCUCUAUCGCUGCAUUCCAUGAACUCUUAUAAGCCUCAGUUACCUGUCAUGGCAGCAGCACUCACCUGAGAGCAGGAUGUGCCAUUGAAGAAGUUCGCAAAGAAUUGGAAUUAGCAAACUUCCAGAAAGCAUUAGGUGGCGUAUAUGAGACUGUAACUGUCGAGAGGUCAAUAGCGAUCAUCAUUCCGAAGGUGGACCAGGAAUGAAGCAUGGGAAAAGUAAAAUUAACCGAGACUUAUCUGUCUUAGGCCAUUUUCAAAAGGCGCAGAUGUAAAAUAUUUUUUAUUCUGUUUUCUAUUUUCUUUGAGUAUGUACCCUAAUUCCCUCAAUGAAUAACGCUCAUUUUCGUUAUGAAAACUUCCAGUUUGCCUAUCCAGGACAUGAACCUGGAUUGCCUGGUUCUAAUCAUUCCAGUGGAAUGUGCGUUAUUUUUGAGCCGUCAAAAAUAAAUGUUGACUGCCUGACUAGCCUGUGUAAGAGUACAUUGUUUGAAACAUGAGUAAAUGGGCAAAUGUUAUUCAAGCCAGCACUAAUCAAAUGGCACCCUAUUCAAUAUAGUGUUUCUUAUAGAUAAAAGGUUACCAAUUGGUAUGAUCAA